rnacentral:rRNA from 1 species
AUACGGAGGGAGCGAGCGUUAAUCGGAAUUACUGGGCGUAAAGCGCGCGUAGGUGGCCAUGUAAGUCGGAUGUGAAAGCCCUGGGCUCAACCUGGGAAUUGCAUUCGAAACUGCAUAGCUAGAGUCCAACAGAGGGAAUCGGAAUCCCAGGUGUAGCGGUGAAAUGCGUAGAUAUCUGGGAGAACAUCAGUGGCGAAGGCGGAUUCCUGGGUUGGUACUGACGCUGAGGUGCGAAAGCUAAGGGAGCGAACAGGAUUAGAAACCCCGGUAGUCC